rnacentral:rRNA from 1 species
UACGAAGGGUGCAAGCGUUACUCGGAAUUACUGGGCGUAAAGCGUGCGUAGGUGGUUCGUUAAGUCUGUCGUGAAAGCCCCGGGCUCAACCUGGGAAUGGCGAUGGAUACUGGCGGGCUAGAGUGCGGUAGAGGAGAGUGGAAUUCCCGGUGUAGCGGUGAAAUGUGUAGAGAUCGGGAGGAACACCGGUGGCGAAGGCGGGUCUCUGGCCACACCCUGACGCUGAGGCGCGAAAGCGUGGGGAGCAAACGGG